rnacentral:lncRNA from 1 species
CACGAAGGAAGUGACAUAGCAGGGAGACUCAUAAACAAGGUCAAGAAGGAAGUGGGCCCCCUUCUCUCUUCCUUCUGUUCUCUGCUCUGGAGUCACUAUGUGAUCCACUGGCAAGAGAGGGCACCAGCAGAAGAUAUCUUCUAUAAGAAUAAUAUCUUCAGAGGAGGCAGAGGACAACCAUUCUUGUUUGCAUUGAAGAUGAACCUUCCUUUACAUUUGGGCUUACAGAAGAUGAAUUGCUUCUUUAGUUUGAAAGUAAUGAAAAAGUGAUCAGGAAGAUCAUUGAUCACUGAGUUAGUUUGAAAUCACAAUUGCAAAAGCCAAACAGAAUCCUUGUGGUAACAGCAUCAGCAUUCUCUGCUCCCUGGUUCUUGCUGCAAUUGUCUGAGGGUUGUUCUCCUGUACUCUGUUAAGGUGAUGCUUUAUGUGUGUCUCCUCAAUCUAUCAUGUCUGUGUUCACAGUGCACUACCUCUUCCCAUGAGGCUUGGUUUGAC